rnacentral:rRNA from 1 species
GAUGAACGCUGGCGGCGUGCCUAACACAUGCAAGUCGAACGGAGAUUACGGACGGAAGUUUUCGGAUGGAAGCCUGUAAUUCUUAGUGGCGGACGGGUGAGUAACGCGUGGGCAACCUGCCCUAUACAGGGGGAUAGCAGCUGGAAACGGUUGGUAAGACCGCAUAAGUCGGUUAAAUCGCAUGAUUUGAUCGGGAAAUGAGCAAUCAGGUAUAGGAUGGGCCCGCGUCCGAUUAGCCAGUUGGCAGGGUAAAAGCCUACCAAAGCGACGAUCGGUAGCCGGACUGAGAGGUCGGACGGCCACAUUGGGACUGAGACACGGCCCAAACUCCUACGGGAGGCAGCAGUGGGGGAUAUUGCACAAUGGAGGAAACUCUGAUGCAGCGACGCCGCGUGAGUGAAGAAGUAUUUCGGUAUGUAAAGCUCUAUCAGCAGGGAAGAUGAUGACGGUACCUGACUAAGAAGCCCCGGCUAACUACGUG